rnacentral:rRNA from 1 species
AUGCAGUCGAACGCUGAACCAGGAGCUUGCUUUGGUGGAUGAGUGGCGAACGGGUGAGUAACACGUGGGUGAUCUGCCCUACACUUUGGGAUAAGCCUGGGAAACUGGGUCUAAUACCGAAUAUUCACACCACCGUAGGGGUGGUGUGGAAAGCUUUAUGCGGUGUGGGAUGAGCCUGCGGCCUAUCAGCUUGUUGGUGGGGUAAUGGCCUACCAAGGCGUCGACGGGUAGCCGGCCUGAGAGGGUGUACGGCCACAUUGGGACUGAGACACGGCCCAGACUCCUACGGGAGGCAGCAGUGGGGAAUAUUGCACAAUGGGCGCAAGCCUGAUGCAGCGACGCCGCGUGGGGGAUGAAGGCCUUCGGGUUGUAAACUCCUUUCGCUAGGGACGAAGCCUUAUGGUGACGGUACCUGGAGAAGAAGCACCGGCUAACUACGUGCCAGCAGCCGCGGUAAUACGUAGGGUGCGAGCGUUGUCCGGAAUUACUGGGCGUAAAGAGCUCGUAGGUGGUUUGUCGCGUCGUCUGUGAAAUCCCGGGGCUUAACUUCGGGCGUGCAGGCGAUACGGGCAUAACUUGAGUGCUGUAGGGGAGACUGGAAUUCCUGGUGUAGCGGUGAAAUGCGCAGAUAUCAGGAGGAACACCAAUGGCGAAGGCAGGUCUCUGGGCAGUAACUGACGCUGAGGAGCGAAAGCAUGGGUAGCGAACAGGAUUAGAUACCCUGGUAGUCCAUGCCGUAAACGGUGGGCGCUAGGUGUAGGGGUCUUCCACGACUUCUGUGCCGCAGCUAACGCAUUAA